CCUACGGGAGGCUGCAGUGGGGAAUAUUGGGCAAUGGGCGAAAGCCUGACCCAGCAACGCCGCGUGAAGGAAGAAGGCCUUCGGGUUGUAAACCUCUUUUGACAGGGAAGAGCAGAACACUGUCUCUAAGGAGGAAGCCCCGGCUAACUAUGUGACAGCAGCCGCGGUAAUACAUAGGGGGCAAGCGUUAUCCGGAAUUAUUGGGUGUAAAGGGUGCGUAGACGGAAGCACAAGUUGGUUGUGAAAUCCCUGGGCUCAACUGAGGAACUGCUACCAAAACUAUUCCCCUUGAGUGUCGGAGAGGAAAGUGGAAUUCCUGGUGUAGCGGUGAAAUGCGUAGAUAUUAGGAGGAACACCAGUGGCGAAGGCGACUUUCUGGACGAUAACUGACGUUGAGGCACGAAAGUGUGGGGAUCAAACAGGAUUAGAUACCCUUGUAGUC
rnacentral:rRNA from 1 species